rnacentral:rRNA from 1 species
GGGUUGUGAGGUUAAGCGACUAAGCGUACACGGUGGAUGCCCUGGCAGUCAGAGGCGAUGAAGGGCGUGCUAAUCUGCGAUAAGCGCCGGUAAGGUGAUAUGAACCGUUAUAACCGGCGAUACCCGAAUGGGGAAACCCAGUGUGAUUCGUCACACUAUCAUUAACUGAAUCCAUAGGUUAAUGAGGCGAACCGGGGGAACUGAAACAUCUAAGUACCCCGAGGAAAAGAAAUCAACCGAGAUUCCCCCAGUAGCGGCGAGCGAACGGGGAGGAGCCCAGAGCCUGAAUCAGCAUGUGUGUUAGUGGAAGCGUCUGGAAAGGCGCGCGAUACAGGGUGACAGCCCCGUACACAAAAGCGCAUGUGCUGUGAGCUCGAUGAGUAGGGCGGGACACGUGGUAUCCUGUCUGAAUAUGGGGGGACCAUCCUCCAAGGCUAAAUACUCCUGACUGACCGAUAGUGAACCAGUACCGUGAGGGAAAGGCGAAAAGAACCCCGGCGAGGGGAGUGAAAAAGAACCUGAAACCGUGUACGUACAAGCAGUGGGAGCACAGGUUUACCUGUGUGACUGCGUACCUUUUGUAUAAUGGGUCAGCGACUUAUAUUCUGUAGCAAGGUUAACCGAAUAGGGGAGCCGGAGGGAAACCGAGUCUUAAUUGGGCGUUAAGUUGCAGGGUAUAGACCCGAAACCCGGUGAUCUAGCCAUGGGCAGGUUGAAGGUUGGGUAACACUAACUGGAGGACCGAACCGACUAAUGUUGAAAAAUUAGCGGAUGACCUGUGGCUGGGGGUGAAAGGCCAAUCAAACCGGGAGAUAGCUGGUUCUCCCCGAAAGCUAUUUAGGUAGCGCCUCGUGAAUUCAUCUCCGGGGGUAGAGCACUGUUUCGGCUAGGGGGCCAUCCCGGCUUACCAACCCGAUGCAAACUGCGAAUACCGGAGAAUGUUAUCACGGGAGACACACGGCGGGUGCUAACGUCCGUCGUGAAGAGGGAAACAACCCAGACCGCCAGCUAAGGUCCCAAAGUCAUGGUUAAGUGGGAAACGAUGUGGGAAGGCCCAGACAGCCAGGAUGUUGGCUUAGAAGCAGCCAUCAUUUAAAGAAAGCGUAAUAGCUCACUGGUCGAGUCGGCCUGCGCGGAAGAUGUAACGGGGCUAAACCAUGCACCGAAGCUGCGGCAGCGACGCUUAUGCGUUGUUGGGUAGGGGAGCGUUCUGUAAGCCUGUGAAGGUGUGUCGUGAGGCAUGCUGGAGGUAUCAGAAGUGCGAAUGCUGACAUAAGUAACGAUAAAGCGGGUGAAAAGCCCGCUCGCCGGAAGACCAAGGGUUCCUGUCCAACGUUAAUCGGGGCAGGGUGAGUCGACCCCUAAGGCGAGGCCGAAAGGCGUAGUCGAUGGGAAACGGGUUAAUAUUCCCGUACUUGGUGUUACUGCGAAGGGGGGACGGAGAAGGCUAUGUUGGCCGGGCGACGGUUGUCCCGGUUUAAGCGUGUAGGCUGGUUUUCCAGGCAAAUCCGGAAAAUCAAGGCUGAGGCGUGACGACGAGGCACUACGGUGCUGAAGCAACAAAUGCCCUGCUUCCAGGAAAAGCCUCUAAGCAUCAGGUAACAUCAAAUCGUACCUCAAACCGACACAGGUGGUCAGGUAGAGAAUACCAAGGCGCUUGAGAGAACUCGGGUGAAGGAACUAGGCAAAAUGGUGCCGUAACUUCGGGAGAAGGCACGCUGACAUGUAGGUGAAGUGAUUUACUCAUGGAGCUGAAGUCAGUCGAAGAUACCAGCUGGCUGCAACUGUUUAUUAAAAACACAGCACUGUGCAAACACGAAAGUGGACGUAUACGGUGUGACGCCUGCCCGGUGCCGGAAGGUUAAUUGAUGGGGUCAGCGCAAGCGAAGCUCCUGAUCGAAGCCCCGGUAAACGGCGGCCGUAACUAUAACGGUCCUAAGGUAGCGAAAUUCCUUGUCGGGUAAGUUCCGACCUGCACGAAUGGCGUAAUGAUGGCCAGGCUGUCUCCACCCGAGACUCAGUGAAAUUGAACUCGCUGUGAAGAUGCAGUGUACCCGCGGCAAGACGGAAAGACCCCGUGAACCUUUACUAUAGCUUGACACUGAACAUUGAGCCUUGAUGUGUAGGAUAGGUGGGAGGCUUUGAAGUGUGGACGCCAGUCUGCAUGGAGCCGACCUUGAAAUACCACCCUUUAAUGUUUGAUGUUCUAACGUGGACCCGUGAUCCGGGUUGCGGACAGUGUCUGGUGGGUAGUUUGACUGGGGCGGUCUCCUCCUAAAGAGUAACGGAGGAGCACGAAGGUUGGCUAAUCCUGGUCGGACAUCAGGAGGUUAGUGCAAUGGCAUAAGCCAGCUUGACUGCGAGCGUGACGGCGCGAGCAGGUGCGAAAGCAGGUCAUAGUGAUCCGGUGGUUCUGAAUGGAAGGGCCAUCGCUCAACGGAUAAAAGGUACUCCGGGGAUAACAGGCUGAUACCGCCCAAGAGUUCAUAUCGACGGCGGUGUUUGGCACCUCGAUGUCGGCUCAUCACAUCCUGGGGCUGAAGUAGGUCCCAAGGGUAUGGCUGUUCGCCAUUUAAAGUGGUACGCGAGCUGGGUUUAGAACGUCGUGAGACAGUUCGGUCCCUAUCUGCCGUGGGCGCUGGAGAACUGAGGGGGGCUGCUCCUAGUACGAGAGGACCGGAGUGGACGCAUCACUGGUGUUCGGGUUGUCAUGCCAAUGGCACUGCCCGGUAGCUAAAUGCGGAAGAGAUAAGUGCUGAAAGCAUCUAAGCACGAAACUUGCCCCGAGAUGAGUUCUCCCUGAGACUUAGAGUCUCCUGAAGGAACGUUGAAGACGACGACGUUGAUAGGCCGGGUGUGUAAGCGCAGCGAUGCGUUGAGCUAACCGGUACUAAUGAACCGUGAGGCUUAACCUUACAACGCCGAAG